UGCUCUGCGGUCUGGUUUGUGCCGAUGGGUCGCUGCCCUUGAGCUGGAUCAGACAGAGGUCUCAGCCCAGCACUGCUGCAGCUGACCCUUAACCGCAGAGGAAAGCAGCGUGGAAGAACCUACCCCUGUUCUCAGAGAAAGGAGGCUGGAUGAGGACAGACUUUACAACCUGUAGCAGUGGUUGCUUUCCCAGAGGACUGAAUUCCUGGUCCCCACUGUUUGUUCAGGCUAAGCUUCUUGCCAGGGGUCAUUUCUGCGGUCCUUUCACCAACAUGCACAAGUGAUUAUGCUCUGUAAGAGCUGUUUUCAGGCUGUAGUGCUGAUGGAACAAGAGCUAUGUGUGUUCCCUCCCCAUGCACUGAUGAUCUUGCUGCCUGCAGUGCUCCCAGAAGUGAGGCGAGGUUUGUAGGAAGCAAUCUCUCUUGUUAGAUUAGCCCUUAGAUUUCAGACAAAACAGACAAGCCGUUCUUCAGGCUAACAGCUUGUCUGUUUUUCUUUUUUCCCAGUUUGUAUCAGCCCUGGUUUUCCCAUCUUUAUCUGUGUAUUGCAUAGAACUAGCUGAUAAAAGACAUGCGCCGCGCUGUCCAACGCUGAGAUGCUGCCUGGGUUUGGCAGCAACCUGUGAUCUGGUUGAGUUCAACUGUAACCUGCCUCUCUCUGCAGGCCCCUUGUGUGCAGGUGAUCAACGUUGGAUGGGCUCUGCCCAUCCAUCCUCCAUCAGCCAGCUGCCUACAAAGGCACGACUGCCUCUUCUCCUGCUACGGAGCAUCCCUGGAGGUGCCUUUCUCAGGCAGCCCAUGGGAACUGGGGUCAAAUACAGCCUCCUUCCCAUCCCCAUCCCUGGCUGCAACAGCUGGGAUUGUUUCUCUGCAAGUCUAAUAUGGCAUCUCCCAGCUGGCUGUGGAGGAGUGGUUGUCAGGGAAAGCACUGGAUGCUCUGCUGGGAAGACAAGAAAGUAGCAGAAGAGCUCUGAAUUCAGUUUUAUACCUCGUCGACUUGGGACUGCAUUUAAAAGCUGGAUUUUCAACUAAAUACGUGUGGUCCCCUCCUGGAGCACUGCUGGGUGUAAGCUGAGCCCUGGAGCUGUCUGUAGGAGGCUGUGGUGGAGAGAGGUGCAGGGAUCCCAGGAGCAUCUGAUUUCCUGCUGCACCUUCUGCUCACACCCCCAAGAACUUCUGCCUUUCAGACCCCCCAGGAACCACAUGCAGGAAUUUGUGGAAAGGAGGUGGAAGUAUCCUGCCCUUCAGGAAUGAUGGGAGCCAUCUCUGUGAGGUGUCCAGAAGAUAUGAAAGUGAUGCUGCACGUCCUGGAGCUGGCCUGGUGGAGCUGAAAGCGGAUGGAUGGAUGGACCCAGCCCUCUGAUCCGUGGCAGUGAGGCUGUGCAUUGUACACGGAACCACUCACGUGAUUCCUGUCGAGCCAAAAUAUUCUUUCAGAAAGAGCAUUGACCAGAUGCCUUAUUAUUGCUGCUCACAAUGCUGUCCUCAGAGUACAACAAUCCAUCACGGAGCUCGGCGCAGCCCUACAGAAAAGUCCCUGACACAUUUUUACAGAAGGGCCAGGUGUAUUGAGAGCGUGGUGACUGAAGGAUGUACAGAAAGCCAAGCUGGGAGUGGAAGCACAGCCACAAAUGCAUGUGCGCAGAGACCUGUCUGUAAUUCGUAGCUCUCCAGGGUCUGCAGGUCAGAGGCUGAAAAGUGCUGCAUCAAAGGGGCUGAGUGUUGGAGAUGUGGCUGAGAUGGAAAUGAAGGUCUAAAGUCCCAAACUGGAAACCACCCAGGCCUCCUUGCUCAACUCCCUCCUGAUGCUCUGUGUCUCCUGCUGCCCUGAGACUGAGCGUGGCUGGGUGUUCCGCUUCUGAACUUCCAUGCUGAUGCCCUAGGAUGUGGAGGAACAGCUGCCAUUUGGGUGCAUCACGUUUUGCCCGUCUGAGCAAUGGGUUGGAAGAAGGACGUACUUUGGAUUGGAUGGAUGGAGUGUCUCACCAGUGAUUCCUUAGAUAAACCUUGAACAGGGGUCACGCUCCCAAACUGGAGGAAGAGACAGCUCAGCACUAAGCUCUUUGUACAGCAGCUUUCCUAAAGAGAUGGGAGCCAUGGCCAUAUCCCUGUGCAUCGCUGCGGUGUGGGUGUGCAGAUGAACUGCUGUAUGCUUGGGUUUUAUAAACAGGAAUUCCCAAGCUGUGUAUCUUCCUACCAAGGGAGGAGAUGUUUAGCUUUUCACCUUUCUCCUGGAUGCAGUUGGAUUUUGGGAGCUGAAAUAGCUAUGUCACAUCUCCUGUGUCAAAGGGGCAGCAAAAGGGAUGGAGCAGCACAAGGCCAAGCGUCAUGGCAGGAGAAGUGGAAGAGAAAGAACUCUGACCCACAGAGGAGCAAGAAGCUGGCGAGUAGAAGAGAAAGCUGUUUCUGCCGUUUGUACAUCCCUCCUGUACCACCACCCAUAACGUCCCUGAUAAAUGAAACUCAGUGCUGGUUGCCUAUCGUCCCGCCAGGA